AUGGGAUCAACAAUGGAUUCCUUACCACCAAGAGGUGUGGUCGGAUGGAUAUGGUCCAUCUAUCUUUAAUAAAAGAUUUCAGAUUCGAGCCCUAAGAAUGAAGAAACCCGACACUAUUUAGAGGCUUUCCCUAUUUCCGCAAUGAAAGCAAGUUCUCUGAACAUCCGUCCGUCACUGUUUUAUUCUCUAUACAUGUUGAAGAUCAAAAGUGUGCCCGUUCAAGUCCGGUCUCAUUUCCUCCUUCAGUGAACCCCCCGAUUCCUAGUAAAAAUGAAGCCAGAUACAGGGCAAGGCUAGUAGAGAUGCUAGAUCUCCACUCUUAUCAUUGAUUGUGAGGGAUAUAUAAGGACCAACAUGUGUGCAAACAGGAACUAAAAAAUUCAUAUUCUUACAACUCAAUCGCUUCCGAUCCUUCAAAAAAGCUGGUGGAUUUACUUUCAAGCCCCCUGUAACACGAACAAUGGGAGGUGGAACAUUGGCGGCGACAACAAUUUUAUUAGAGAUCAGAGGCAAGUACAUUUAACCUUUUUUUUUUAAGAAAUACCAGAGACAGCUGAAGGAACAGAAUUGCUACUAUCCUCGUGAUAAAAGUAUGUUUUCAUUUUACAGCUUUCAUUA